rnacentral:rRNA from 1 species
GACGAACGCUGGCGGCGUGCCUAACACAUGCAAGUCGAACGGUCCGGCACUCAACCGACCCUCAGUCUAGCUGUAGGUGAGGUUAAGUGCCGGAUAGUGGCGGACGGGUGAGUAACGCGUGGGCAACCAACCCUGUACAGUGGGAUAACACCGGGAAACCGGUGCUAAUACCGCAUGACACCUAGAUGGUGCAUACUGUUUAGGUUAAAGGGCAAAACCGGUACGGGACGGGCCCGCGUCCCAUUAGCUGGUUGGUGAGGUAACGGCUCACCAAGGCGACGAUGGGUAGCCGACCUGAGAGGGUGACCGGCCACACUGGGACUGAGACACGGCCCAGACUCCUACGGGAGGCAGCAGUGGGGAAUAUUGCGCAAUGGACGGAAGUCUGACGCAGCGACGCCGCGUGAGCGACGAAGGCCUUCGGGUCGUAAAGACUCUGUUCUUGGGGACGAAGUAAAAUAGACGGUACCCAACGGAGAAAGCCCCGGACGUAACUAACGUGCCAGCAGCCGCGGUAAAAUAGACGUACU